rnacentral:rRNA from 1 species
UUGACGGUACCCUACUAGAAAGGAGCCGCUAACUUCGUGCCAGAAGCGUCGGUAAUACGGGGGCUCCAAGCGUUAUCCGGUGUUAUUGGGCGUAAAGAGUCGUGUAGGUGGUUGGGUAAGUUAUCUUUCAAAUAUCUUUGCUUAACAAAGAGGAGGGGGAUAAUACUGCUCGACUAGAAUUUUCUCAAGGGAGAUCGGAACUGAGGGAGGAGUAGUGAAAUGCGUUGAUACCCUCGGGAACACCAGUGGCGUAGGCGGAUCUCUGGGAGAAGAUUGACACUGAGACACGAAAGCUAGGGGAGCGAAGCAGAUUAGAGACCUGCGUAGUCCUAGCCGUAAACGCAUGCUUGCUAGCUGCAUGUAUCUACCUUCGGGUGGUAUCGUGUGGCGAAGGUAACCCGUUAAGCAAGCCGCCUGGAAAGUACGGCCGCAAGGCUGAAAUUCAAAGGAAUUGGCGGGGAGGCACACAACCAGUGGAACAUGUGGUUUAAUUCGAGACUAACCGAAGAACCUCACCAGGGUUUGACAUGUAGCUGCACGCCUUAAGAAAUUAAGACUCUCUUGAAGGUGCUACACAGGUGCUGCAUGGCUGUCGCCAGCUCGUUCCGUGAGGAGUGCCCUUAAGUGGGACAACGAGCGCAACCCCUAUUACAUGUUAGAAAUGUCAUGUAAGACUGCCUUGCCAUUUGGCGGGGAGGAAGGAGGGGCAGACGUCAAGUCCGCAUGGUCCUUAUGCCCUGGGCUACACACAUGUUACAAUGAGUACGGCAAUGAGUCUGUCGCGAGCACGUAAGUGUAAGCUAAUCUCUUAAAUGUACUCUCAGUGGGGAUUGAGGUCUGCAACUCGACCUCAUGAACACGGAAUUGGUAGUAAUCGCGGGUCAGCUAUACCGCGGUGAAUACGUUCUUGCCUCUUGCACACACCGCCCGUCGAACCAGCAAAGU